rnacentral:tRNA from 1 species
CGGAGUGUGGUGUAACGGCUAACAUUCUGGUUUUGGGUACCAGUGACUCAGGGUUCGAAUCCCUGCACUCCGA